UCUAAACUUUGGGAAAUCUGGUUAAUAUUAUGAAUGUUAGUGCCCAUUCUAGUAGUUUCUUAAAUGUCAUGUGUGGUAUAAAUUGAUAGGAAUGCUCUCUCAGAUACUUUCAUUUGACUACAUCUCUAUGACAUUUGGAUAAUCUGACUUCCUUGACAUGAAUCCUUUAUCUUCAGGGGCUUUGUCCAGAUAUCUACUGGUGAACCCAAGUGGAGAUUCAAGGAAAUUCAUCAUAAUAAUCCAGACAGAAUCUGGAUUCCAGAGAAAUGCCUCAGUAUUUCAUAGACGUCUGUAGCAUGUGUGUUCUGGGCCUCCUGGAAUAAUCUCUGGAAGAAGAGAGAGAUGACAGUGUAGUAGAUGUACAAUGGAGAGAAUUUCGGGAUCCCAGGACCUAUGAUUGAACUGGCAGCUGAUCGAUUCAGUGGAAUUUAGAGUUCUCUUUCUUGACACCGAACUGAAAUUUGCUUUGGCUAAAAGAGGUAAAGCAUACAAUUAUGGUUAGAAACGUAAUAAUAAAUCUACUGUAACAACCUUCUUUCCACCACAUACCUUUUCUGGUAUUUAUCUGAAUACUCAGCUUCUAAAAACUAGAAGAGAUUGUAAUUUCAGUAGCAACUCAUCAGCAACUCUAAGUGUACGAAGCCAUUUCAGCUAUGAUCUUCUUUUAUUUUGCCAAGGUUCAUGUCUGAAAGGUUUUAUUUCUUUUGGUUUUGAAAAUUAGAAAGAGGAGACAAACAGUUAAAAGUAUAAAAGUUCUACCCGUGUUGCUUUUUCUACACCUUGAGGACUAGCAAAAUCUUUAAUAUGAGACUUUAUUUGUACAAAGCAAAACUUCAAAACCACUCAAAAGCUUUUCUUAUUAACUGCUGUCAGUCCUGUGAUUUACAGAGGCAAUAAAGAACUAGAGGGGGCGCAUUUAUCAUGGAGUUCAGCGCACCAGGAGCCAUUUUCUCCAGCGGUAAAGGCAAGUGAUAAAAACGAAUUCUUUUGUUCUAUAACCAAGACACAUUCUCUGUUCCCUAUUCUCUAGACUUGGGCACGCCAGGCUUCUCUGGUGGCAACUUGGUACCACCUCAUCUACACUCAAUGAUAAAUUGUUAACAUGAAAACACUGAUGAUACACCUGGAACACCUGGCUGUUAUCACAGGUUUUAAUUACUGGAUUAAGUGUUGUGAAGUUACUGUUACCAGUGACCAAGCCAGCUCGUUUUAUUUACUCAUGAUUGUGGACCUUUAAUACAUGUAUAGGAGAAAGGAAAAGACCAGUGUUUCAGUACUGUUUGUGUUAAUGACAAAAUAAAACCUGUGUCAAAGGAAAACAAUCAUGUAAUAGAUUAUAACUAAUUUUUGCCUGAACUUAACAAGAUUCCAGGAGGUUGCUCUGUGUGGUUCCAAGAGGCGAAACACAGGGUCCCUAGUGCAGCUAACUGCUCAUUAUCUCCUCUGCCAUUGAGACAGUCAUGUUACGAGGACACCCAGUGCUAGUUUCUGCUCCCAUCUGUGUGCAGUGCCAACCACUCCACUGCUUUGAACCAGGGUGAAAGUGGAAGCUUCCUCCAUGAAGGCACAGCUCUUUCUCUGGCUCCUAUGUGACUUCACCUAUACUCUGCCCCUUUCUGCUACUCAGCAUCUCCAAGGUAUCCUGUGAGACAAAAAUCAUUAAAAAAAUCCAAAAAACUGGAGAAAAAAAACUUAAAUGAAGAUGAAUCAGGCAGAAAUGCUGAGUCUGGGAUAUGUUUUAAUACAUUUCAAGUUAGCAACUCAUAAGGAACCUGGAAUAUUGAGGUUAUAAAACCAAUUGAUGUGACGACAAAUACCCACCAUUUGCUUCAACGUGGAUGGAACUGGAGGGUAUUAUGCUGAGUGAAGUAAGUCAAUCGGAGAAGGACAAACAUUAUAUGUUCUCAUUCAUUUGGGGAAUAUAAAUAAUA